rnacentral:rRNA from 1 species
AAAAACAUGUCCUUUAGGAUUUAAUUUAAGGUCUAGCCUGCCCACUGAGUUAUUAAAUGGCCGCAGUAUUUUAACUGUGCAAAGGUAGCAUAAUCAUUAGUCUUUUAAUUGAAGGCUUGUAUGAAUGGUUGGACAAAAUAUAUAUUGUUUCAUUUAAAUUUAUAGAAUUUUAUUUUUCAGUUAAAAAGCUGAAAUUUAAUUAAAAGACGAGAAGACCCUAUAGAUCUUUAUAAUUGUUGAAUUUAAUUUAUUAAGGAUAUUUUAUUUUUAAUUUAUAUAAUUAUUUUAUUGGGGUGAUAGUAAGAUUUAUUUAACUCUUGUAUAGUUUAAUACAUAAAUUAAUGAUUAAUUGAUCCAGUAUUAUUGAUUAGUAAAAUAAGUUACCUUAGGGAUAACAGCGUAAUUUUUUUAGAGAGUUCUUAUCGAUAAAAAAGAUUGCGACCUCGAUGUUGGAUUAAGAGAUAAGUUUGGGCGUAGCCGUUCAAAUUUAAAGUCUGUUCGACUUUUUAAUUCUUACAUGAUCU